GGUUAAGUUAAUAAGGGCGCACGGUGGAUGCCUUGGCACUAAGAGCCGAUGAAGGACGGGACUAACUCCGAUAUGCUUUGGGGAGCUGUAAGUAAGCUUUGAUCCAAAGAUUUCCGAAUGGGGGAACCCAGCAUUUUUUAUAGAAUGUUACUGCUAGCUGAAUACAUAGGCUAGUAGAGGUAGACGCAGAGAACUGAAACAUCUAAGUACCUGCAGGAAGAGAAAGAAAAUUCGAUUCCCUGA
rnacentral:rRNA from 1 species